rnacentral:misc_RNA from 1 species
GAUGAAGAACGCAGCGAAAUGCGAUAAGUAAUGUGAAUUGCAGAAUUCAGUGAAUCAUCGAAUCUUUGAACGCACCUUGCGCUCUUUGGUAUUCCGAAGAGCAUGCCUGUUUGAGUGUCAUGAAAAUAUCAACCUUGACUUGGGUUUUGUGCUCUACUCUCGGCUUGGAAUUGGGUGCUUGCCGCUUUUACGAGCGGCUCACCUUAAAUGUAUUAGCUGGAUCUGUCUUUGAGACUUGGUUUGACUUGGCGUAAUAAGUAUUUCGCUAAGGACAUUCUUCGGAGUGGCCUCGUUUCUAGGACGCUUGUCCGCUUUCCAAUACAAGUUCCACCUCGUGGACAUGACUUUUUAUUAUCUGGCCUCAAAUCAGGUAGGACUACCCGCUGAACUUAAGCAUAUCAAUAAGCGGAGGA